CCCUUAGAGUUUGAUCCUGGCUCAGAAUGAACGUUGGCGGCGUGGAUUAGGCAUGCAAGUCGAACGGGCCGCAAGGCCAGUGGCGCAAGGGUGAGUAAGGCGACGGUAACCAACCCCGCGAUUGGGUAUAGCCGCGGGAAACCGCGGGUAAUCCCCAGCGACGCAACGGCACCGGCAUCGGUGCCUUGCCAAAGCCCCGGCGUCGCGGGACGGGCUGUCGUGGUAUUAGCUUGUUGGCGGGGUAACGGCCCACCAAGGCGGCGAUGCCUACCGGGCGUGCGAGCGCGACCCGGCACACUGGGACUGAGACACUGCCCAGACUCCUACGGGAGGCUGCAGUCGAGAAUCUUCGGCAAUGGGCGCAAGCCUGACCGAGCGACGCCGCGUGGAGGACGAAGGCCUUCGGGUUGUAAACUCCUGUCGAGGGGGAAGAAGGCCCCGAAAGGGGCUUGACUGAUCCCUGGAGGAAGCACGGGCUAAGUUCGUGCCAGCAGCCGCGGUAAGACGAACCGUGCGAACGUUAUUCGGAAUCACUGGGCUUAAAGCGCGUGUAGGCGGAUGGGCACGUCGGUCGCUGAAAUCCCCCGGCUCAACCGGGGAACGGGCGCCGAUACGGCUCGUCUGGAGGGGCGUAGGGGGACCUGGAACUUCCGGUGGAGCGGUGAAAUGCGUUGAGAUCGGAAAGAACGCCCGUGGCGAAAGCGAGGUCCUGGACGCCUACUGACGCUGAGACGCGAAGCCAGGGGAGCGAACGGGAUUAGAUACCCCGGUAGUCCUGGCCGUAACGAUGGC
rnacentral:rRNA from 1 species